AGAAAUUCAGCCAACUGUAGCGACUCUUCGACGGCAGAACUACACAACAACCUGUUUGUUAAAACCAAGAUAAGGAAGACACAAAGAAACACAGACGCAGACGCUGACGCAGACGCAGACGCUGAAGCAUAUAAAAUGGCAGAAGCACAGAUGGAAGUGGUCGUGGGACCAAAACUAACAAUUUUGGUAAGAUCGAAAAUUGACCUCAAAAAACCCCAAACACCAAAUCCUGAAACACGUCCUGUGGCACAAGUUCAAACAGACGUGGACGUGAAAGCCAAGAAAAAAAGGGGGCAAAAACAGAAAAGAGUGGCUGAAGAACCCAGACGACCGAUUACUCGGGCGUAUGCUCGGGCUCUUCUGGAAGCCCAGAACAAAGUGGCUGAUGGAAGCAACCCGAAAAAUGAAGAAAUGUCAGAAAACCCUGAAGGAACCUCUGAAAUGGAAAACCCUGAAUCCCUCCCUAUGUCAGAACCAAAGGAGGACGUGAAUAUGGAGGCAGAGGCAAACGUGAACAACGCCAGUGGACAAAACCCUGGACCAAAGGGAGGGACGUGGCAGCCCAAUCCCAGAUUUAUACCCCAUCAUGGCAGAGUCCAGUAUGAUUCAUGUUGCGAGAUCGCUGCUCUCAGGCAUCAACUACAAACCUCCCAAAACCACCAGAACGAGCUCUACUGGAAACUGGUAGCUGCUAAUAAGAGGGCUUCUUAUUACCAGUCUAAGGUGAGCAAACUUCAUGCACAGAUGAUUGCCGACAAAAAACAGCAUGAAGAAACAAUUAAAGAGCUCAUAGAGCAACUGGAGGAGGCUAAUGAUAAUAAUAAGCCUGAUAAGAGCAAAACAGAGGUUCAAACAAAGGACAACCAAGCAGUUGUCAUGCUGGAUGACAUGAUCCGUGUCCUGCAUGAAGACGUCAGUGACCCUACCACAGAGCAGUGUGUGGAUUCUUCUAACCAAACCACAGAGGCUUCACACACUGACUCUGUAGGUCUGAAGGAGGCUGAAUUUGAAGGCCAGUGCAGGACUCAACAAGAGCAAAUAGGAACACUCCAACAACGGCUCCUAGAAGCUCAAAACCAACUCAAGGAACAGGAAGAUGAACAUAGGCAGGACCAGGAGACACUGAACAUGGAAAUCAGUGAGCUUAAAUCCCAGCUCUGCUCCAAAAAGGAGCUUCAUGACAUGAAAGUAGCGACUCUUCAUCAAGAGUUGAAAGAAGUCAAAGCGUCCUACAUUAAAAUCACACAGGAGCAAAAUGACCAAAAGUCCAACACUGCAAAUGGAAAAUCUGAGCUUCUGGUGGAAAAAGACACCAAAGAACAGGACAAGGAAGAAGAGGACUCCCUGCCACAGACUGCAGUUACUCUACGUGACUCUUUCCAACAAACAGAAGACAGACAGAAAAUGAUAACUACCAAUCCAGCUGAACUUCAAACUGAAGCUAAGACUGUGCCAGAGAACAAACCAAAGAAGAAGAGGAAGAGGAACUGGCUGCGUCGGCUUUUCAGCUGUACCAGUCCAC
ensembl:lncRNA